GACGAACGCUGGCGGCGUGCUUAACACAUGCAAGUCGAACGAUGAAGCCGAGCAACGCUAACUUCGGUUCAAAUUUCACUUCUGAUUAGCGGCAGACGGGUGUGUCACGCGUGAGCAACCUACCUCUUACAACGGGAUCGCCUCGGGAAACCGUGCUUCAUCCCAUAUGACACAUUCAUAAGGCAUCUUCAGAUUGUUAUAGCUACGGCGGUAAUAGAUGGGCUCGCGUCCGAUUAGCUAGGUGGUGCGGUAACGGCCCACCAAGGCGACGAUGGGGAACCGGGCGGGGAGGGUGAACGGUCACGAUGGAACUGAGGCACGGACCAAACUGCGACGGGGGGCAGCAGUAGGGAAUAUAGCAGAAGGGAGGGAGCUGUGAUGCAGCGACGCCGCGGGAGAGAUGAAGGGAGUCGUUUCGUGAAGCUCUGUUCGAUGGGAAGAAAAGGACGGUACCAUAGGAGAAAGCACCGGCUAAAUACGUG
rnacentral:rRNA from 1 species